rnacentral:rRNA from 1 species
CAGCAGCCGCGGUAAUACGGAGGGUGCAAGCGUUAAUCGGAAUUACUGGGCGUAAAGCGCACGCAGGCGGUUUGUUAAGUCAGAUGUGAAAUCCCCGAGCUUAACUUGGGAACUGCAUUUGAAACUGGCAAGCUAGAGUCUUGUAGAGGGGGGUAGAAUUCCAGGUGUAGCGGUGAAAUGCGUAGAGAUCUGGAGGAAUACCGGUGGCGAAGGCGGCCCCCUGGACAAAGACUGACGCUCAGGUGCGAAAGCGUGGGGAGCAAACGGGAUUAGAUACCCCUGUAGUCCCUGUCUCUUAUAC